CAAUUACUGAUUGAGCGCUCUCGAACCCAGCUAGAUCGAGCCCGCCAAUCGCGCAAGUUUGAAACUUUUUCCUCGUAUUAUGCCUCAAUCCUCUGCUCCUGAAGAGAAACGGACUUCCUCUGCAAAUUAUCGAACAUGGUGAAGAGAGAAACGGACUUCCUCUGCAAAUUAUCGAACAUGGUGAAGAAGAUAAAUGGGUUUUGGAAUUGGGGGAGAAAUCGGAGAUGGGUGUUCUUGAAGUGCUGAAUCUGGGCAGUGGGUGAGGAGAUGCAGAGAGGGUUGCAAUCAUUGUGAUUGAUUGUGGAGAGGAUUAUUGGUAAGAAGAGUGAGUUAAGUUUAAUGGAGGUGGCAUUGAGUUUUGUUGUUGUUGGUGUGAGGUGAGAGCUAAGUAGAUUUUGAAUGGAUAAUUUGAAUUUAUGAGUUUGUGGAGGUGAAGAGAAU
rnacentral:lncRNA from 1 species